rnacentral:tRNA from 1 species
GGAGAGAUGACCGAGUGGUUUAAGGUGCACGCCUGGAAAGCGUGUGUACGUAACAGUACCGAGGGUUCGAAUCCCUCUUUCUCCGCCA